UUGUCUUGCAAUUUUUGAGCAUAGCGAGAACGUACGCCGUGCUGUCCAGUGAUAAAAGCUGUUGAGCGCAGCAGAGCUCGCAGAGUACUGUGGUGGACAACGUUUCUUUGUUCUCUGGCUUUCAAGUUUAAGGGGUGCUUGGACUAUCUUGCAUCGGUGGAUAUGAAAAUAGUGGUAACCUACCCUACGAAACAGCUAUUUGCACAUAAGCUUAACAGUUCCCUGUGAGAUGCUGUGAAAGUCAGCAGGGAAGUGCGAUGUAGAAGAAACGACUGCCAGAAGCUUGCUAAAGAACCGCACAACAUGUGUGAGCAGCAGACAAAAUAUUCAUCAAACGGUACAAAACUAGUAUUUUUGUGCUUUGUCGUUUUGAGACAUCCUUGGUAUUGUAUGGAGAACAGCGUGACUAUGUCAUUCCGUCUUACUUCACCCAAACAGCUAUCUGGUAGUAGUGCAAGAUUUGAGUUCCUAAAAGGUUUAUUCACUGAAGUCACCUCAGCGCCAUACUAUAGGUCCCUCAAUGUUUAGUCCUUGCAUUUGUUCGCUGCAUUAUGCUUUUUAGGUGACUAUUAACACAAAAAAAUAUGGAAAUUGCUUGGAUAUUCUACAAAUCACAGAGCAACAAGUUUUAAACACCAGAUAUGCGGUGAGUAUAAUAUGGGUAACAGCUUGACUGAAAUCUACAAUCGGGCCGAGAUCUACCAA